rnacentral:rRNA from 1 species
AUGAACGCUGGCGGCGUGCUUAACACAUGCAAGUCGAACGGGAAAUACUUCAUUGAGACUUCGGUGGAUUUGAUUUAUUUCUAGUGGCGGACGGGUGAGUAACGCGUGGGUAACCUGCCUUAUACAGGGGGAUAACAGUCAGAAAUGACUGCUAAUACCGCAUAAGCGCACGGAACCGCAUGGUUCAGUGUGAAAAACUCCGGUGGUAUAAGAUGGACCCGCGUUGGAUUAGCUAGUUGGUGGGGUAACGGCCCACCAAGGCGACGAUCCAUAGCCGGCCUGAGAGGGUGAACGGCCACAUUGGGACUGAGACACGGCCCAGACUCCUACGGGAGGCAGCAGUGGGGAAUAUUGCACAAUGGGGGAAACCCUGAUGCAGCGACGCCGCGUGAAGGAAGAAGUAUCUCGGUAUGUAAACUUCUAUCAGCAGGGAAGAUAGUGACGGUACCUGACUAAGAAGCCCCGGCUAACUACGU